GAGUUUGAUCCUGGUUCAGGAUGAACGCUAGCGACAGGCUUAACACAUGCAAGUCGAGGGGCAGCGCAGGUAGCAAUACCGGGUGGCGACCGGCGCACGGGUGCGUAACGCGUAUGCAACCUACCUAUAAUAGGGGGAUAGCCUUCUGAAAGGGAGAUUAAGACCGCAUAAUACAAUUAUUCCGCAUGGUUUGAUUGUAAAAUAUUUAUAGAUUAUAGAUGGGCAUGCGUCUGAUUAGAUAGUUGGAGAAGUAACGGCUCACCAAGUCAACGAUCAGUAGGGGUUCUGAGAGGAAGGUCCCCCACACCGGAACUGAGACACGGUCCGGACUCCUACGGGAGGCAGCAGUGAGGAAUAUUGGUCAAUGGGCGAGAGCCUGAACCAGCCAAGUCGCGUGAAGGAAGAAGGUCUUAUGGAUUGUAAACUUCUUUUAUAGGGGAAUAAAGAUGAGUACGUGUACUCAGUUGUAGGUACCCUAAGAAUAAGGAUCGGCUAACUCCGUGCCAGCAGCCGCGGUAAUACGGAGGAUUCGAGCGUUAUCCGGAUUUAUUGGGUUUAAAGGGUGCGUAGGCGGGUUGAUAAGUCAGUGGUGAAAGGUUUGCGCUCAACGUAGACAUUGCCAUUGAAAC
rnacentral:rRNA from 1 species